rfam:Triticum aestivum genome assembly, contig: Triticum_aestivum_CS42_TGACv1_scaffold_147938_2BS
AAAGUACUCCCUCCGUCCCAAAAUUCUUGUUUUAGAUUUGUCUAGAUACGGAUGUAUCAAGUCAAAGAUACAUCCGUAUCUAGACAAAUCUAAGACAAGACAUUUGGGACACAGUGAGUAGUUG